rnacentral:tRNA from 1 species
GGGAUAAUAGUUAACCAUAAUAUUUAAAUUGCACUUAAAAGGUACUAUUAUUAGUUUAUCUCA